rnacentral:rRNA from 1 species
GACAGAGGAUGCAAGCGUUAUCCGGAAUCACUGGGCGUAAAGCGUCUGUAGGUGGUUUAAUAAGUCAACUGUUAAAUCUUGAGGCUCAACCUCAAAAUCGCAGUCGAAACUAUUAGGCUAGAGUAUAGUAGGGGUAAAGGGAAUUUCCAGUGGAGCGGUGGAAUGCGUAGAGAUUGGAAAGAACACCGAUGGCGAAGGCACUUUACUGGGCUAUUACUAACACUCAGAGACGAAAGCUAGGGUAGCAAAUGGG